UGCAUCAAUCGSGCGCGAAGCCUGAUGCAGCCCAUGCGCGCCGUGUUAUGAAAGAGAGGCCUUCGCGUUGUAAAGUACUUUUCAGACGGGGAAGGAAAGGGAGUAAAAGUUAAUACCUUUACUCAUCUGACGUUACCCCGCAGAAGACAGCACACGGCUAACUCCGUGCCCAGCAGCCCGCGGUUAAUUACGGAGGGUGCAAGCGUUUCAUCGGAAAUUACUGGGCGUAAAGCGCACGCAGGCGGUUUGUUAACUCAGAUGUGAAAUCCCCGGGCUCAACCUGGGAACUGHYUCUGAUAACUUCGCAAGCUUGAYUCUCGUAGAGGGGGGUAGAAUUCCAGGUGUUAGCGGUUCAAAUGCGUAGAGAUCUGGAGGAAUACCGGUUCGCGAAGGCCYCCCUUGACGAAMCUSACGCUCAGGUGCGAAAGCGUGGGGCGC
rnacentral:rRNA from 1 species